AGCAGUCGCCGCGGGAAUACGUAGGUGGCAAGCGUUGUCCGGAAUUAUUGGGCGUAAAGGGCUCGCAGGCGGUUUCUUAAGUCUGAUGUGAAAGCCCCCGGCUCAACCGGGGAGGGUCAUUGGAAACUGGGAAACUUGAGUGCAGAAGAGGAGAGUGGAAUUCCACGUGUAGCGGUGAAAUGCGUGGAGAUGUGGAGGAACACCAGUGGCGAAGGCGACUCUCUGGUCUGUAACUGACGCAGAGGAGCGAAAGCGUGGGGAGCGAACAGGAUUAGAUACCCGAGUAGUCCCUGUCUCUUAUAC
rnacentral:rRNA from 1 species